rnacentral:rRNA from 1 species
GACGAACCGUGCGAACGUUAUUCGGAAUCACUGGGCUUAAAGCGCGUGUAGGCGGGACGGCACGUCGGUCGCUGAAAUCCCCCGGCUCAACCGGGGAACGGGCACCGAUACGACCAUCCUGGAGGGGGGUAGGGGGAGCUGGAACUUCCGGUGGAGCGGUGAAAUGCGUUGAGAUCGGAAGGAACGCCCGUGGCGAAAGCGAGCUCCUGGACCCUUACUGGCGCUGAGACGCGAAAGCCAGGGGA